rnacentral:rRNA from 1 species
AGUGAGUGGCGGACGGGUGAGUAACACGUGGGUAACCUGCCCAGAAGCAGGGGAUAACACCUGGAAACAGAUGCUAAUACCGUAUAACAGAGAAAACCGCCUGGUUUUCUUUUAAAAGAUGGCUCUGCUAUCACUUCUGGAUGGACCCGCGGCGCAUUAGCUAGUUGGUGAGGUAACGGCUCACCAAGGCGAUGAUGCGUAGCCGACCUGAGAGGGUAAUCGGCCACAUUGGGACUGAGACACGGCCCAGACUCCUACGGGAGGCAGCAGUAGGGAAUCUUCCACAAUGGACGCAAGUCUGAUGGAGCAACGCCGCGUGAGUGAAGAAGGGUUUCGGCUCGUAAAGCUCUGUUGUUAAAGAAGAACGUGGGUGAGAGUAACUGUUCACCCAGUGACGGUAUUUAACCAGAAAGCCACGGCUAACUACGUGCCAGCAGCCGCGGUAAUACGUAGGUGGCAAGCGUUAUCCGGAUUUAUUGGGCGUAAAGCGAGCGCAGGCGGUCUUUUAAGUCUAAUGUGAAAGCCUUCGGCUCAACCGAAGAAGUGCAUUGGAAACUGGGAGACUUGAGUGCAGAAGAGGACAGUGGAACUCCAUGUGUAGCGGUGAAAUGCGUAGAUAUAUGGAAGAACACCAGUGGCGAAGGCGGCUGUCUGGUCUGUAACUGACGCUGAGGCUCGAAAGCAUGGGUAGCGAACAGGAUUAGAUACCCUGGUAGUCCAUGCCGUAAACGAUGAUUACUAAGUGUUGGAGGGUUUCCGCCCUUCAGUGCUGCAGCUAACGCAUUAAGUAAUCCGCCUGGGGAGUACGACCGCAAGGUUGAAACUCAAAAGAAUUGACGGGGGCCCGCACAAGCGGUGGAGCAUGUGGUUUAAUUCGAAGCUACGCGAAGAACCUUACCAGGUCUUGACAUCUUCUGCCAACCUAAGAGAUUAGGCGUUCCCUUCGGGGACAGAAUGACAGGUGGUGCAUGGUUGUCGUCAGCUCGUGUCGUGAGAUGUUGGGUUAAGUCCCGCAACGAGCGCAACCCUUAUUACUAGUUGCCAGCAUUCAGUUGGGCACUCUAGUGAGACUGCCGGUGACAAACCGGAGGAAGGUGGGGACGACGUCAAAUCAUCAUGCCCCUUAUGACCUGGGCUACACACGUGCUACAAUGGAUGGUACAACGAGUUGCGAAACCGCGAGGUUUAGCUAAUCUCUUAAAACCGUUCUCAGUUCGGACUGUAGGCUGCAACUCGCCUACACGAAGUCGGAAUCGCUAGUAAUCGCGGAUC